GGAUCCAUGGCGCAACGGUAGCGCGUCUGACUCCAGAUCAGAAGGUUGCGUGUUCGAAUCAGGCUGGGUUCA
rnacentral:tRNA from 1 species